rnacentral:rRNA from 1 species
AACGAACGCUAUCGGUAUGCUUAACACAUGCAAGUCGGACGGACUAAUUAGGGCUUGCUCCACUUAGUUAGUGGCAGACGGGUGAGUAACACGUGGGAAUCUGCCCAUCAGUACGGAAUAACUUUUAGAAAUAAAAGCUAAUACCGUAUAUUCUCUACAGAUGAAAGAUUUAUCGCUGAUGGAUGAGCCCGCGUCAGAUUAGGUAGUUGGUGAGGUAACGGCUCACCAAGCCGACGAUCUGUAGCUGGUCUGAGAGGAUGAUCAGCCACACUGGGACUGAGACACGGCCCAGACUCCUACGGGAGGCAGCAGUGGGGAAUAUUGGACAAUGGGCGAAAGCCUGAUCCAGCAAUACCGAGUGAGUGAUAAAGGCCCUAGGGUUGUAAAGCUCUUUUAGCAAGGAAGAUAAUGACGUUACUGGCAGAAAAAGCCCCGGCUAACUCCGU